CACCAACCACCAUCAGUGCACACACCAACCACCAAUCCAGCACACACCAACCACCAUAGUGCACACACCAACCCCAUCCAGGGCACACACAACCAUCAGUGCACACACAUAUAUACACACAUUCCCAAAGCCACCAUCCAACCACCAUCAGCACACAACCAACACCAUCAGUUGCACACCACCAUGCAGCACACACACAAACCCACCAUCAGUGCACACACACCAACCACCAUCAGCACACACUAACCACCAUCAGCACACACAACAACCACCAUCAGUGCACACCAAUCACCAUCAGCACACACACCAACCACCAUCAGCGCACACCCCAACCACCAUCAGCGCACACCAACCACCAUCAGCACACACCAACCACCAUCAGCACACACACCAACCACCAUCAGCGCACACACCAACCACCAUCAGCGCACACACCAACCACCAUCAGCGCACACACCGACCACCAUCAGCACACACACCAAUCACUAUCAGCACACACACCAGCCACCACAGCACACACUAACCACCAGUGCACACCCCAACUUGGAUGAGUCUGAACCCUGGCACACUAAGCACAGGAGUCUUCGUACUAAACGCCUCCACCUACAUGACAUCCUAGCAAAGGUGACACAACAGAGUCAGAAAACAGACCCAUAGCUGCAGGGGCUGGAGGUGGGGAAAGACGGCGAAAGGACACAGCGGCGUUUUCUGGGGUUGGACGCAGAAUUCUGUAAAUUGUGCUGGUGGUUUUGCCACUGUAUAUGUUUGUGAGAAUUCACCAAACGAUACACUCAAAAAGCGUGAAUGAUUUUGUGCAUAAGCUAUAUGUGAAUAAACCCGGCUUUU
rnacentral:lncRNA from 1 species